UGGCUCAGUUCAGCAGGAACCG
rnacentral:ncRNA from 5 species